rnacentral:tRNA from 5 species
CGGCCCGUAGCUCAGCUGGUAGAGCACGUGACUCUUAAUCAUGGGGUCGAGGGUUCGAUCCCCUCCGGGCCGACAA